AACGAACGCUGGCGGCAUGCCUAACACGUGCAAGUCGAACGAGACCUUCGGGUCUAGUGGCGCACGGGUGCGUAACGCGUGGGAACCUGCCCUUAGGUUCGGAAUAACUCCCCGAAAGGGGUGCUAAUACCGGAUAAUGUCUUCGGGCCAAAGAUUUAUCGCCUUUGGAUGGGCCCGCGUUGGAUUAGCUAGUUGGUAGGGUAAAAGCCUACCAAGGCGACGAUCCAUAGCUGGUCUGAGAGGAUGAUCAGCCACACUGGGACUGAGACACGGCCCAGACUCCUACGGGAGGCAGCAGUGGGGAAUAUUGGACAAUGGGCGAAAGCCUGAUCCAGCAAUGCCGCGUGAGUGAUGAAGGCCUUAGGGUUGUAAAGCUUUUUUACCCGGGAUGAUAAUGACAGUACCGGGAGAAUAAGCUCCGGCUAACUCCGUG
rnacentral:rRNA from 1 species